UGUGGCAAAAGGUCGCAAAGUUCAAGGGGGCCGAAUACUUUCGCAAGGCACCGUAUUGUGUAACAGGGAGUCUUGUGAGUGCAACCAUACGCAGAUCAUCAAAGGUAAAUGAUACAUUUUAUUACUAUUUCUGACUUUUGUGACUAAUCUACUUGGCUGGUAUGUAAUGUUUUGUGUGCUGGGUGCUUUCCUCAGAUAAUCGCCUGGUAUGCUUUCUCUGUAAAGCCUUUUUGAAAUCUGACACAGCAGCUGGAUUAACAAGAAGUUAAGUCUUAUUUGGAUGUAUAACAAAUAUAUUUUGAUGAAUGUUAAAUAUUUGAAUUGAAUAUUUUUGAAUUUUGCGCCCUGCAAUUUCACUGGAUGUUGGCCAGGUGGGACACUACCGUCCCAGGUACCCAUAAGAAGUUAUAUGCUCUCCAAAUGAAGGUCGGUGGACAAAGAUUCAAAUGUCAGAUUAAAGGAAGAGGUGGUGUUUACUCGGUUGCACCUAGGAGAUUGAACAUUGAACUCAUCAUUACAUCUGGUUGGAAAGCUUGUCAACGGUGCAUGUAUGCCUGGAGUGUAUGGUUUAUGAAACAGUGUAGCAUGUGUUGAUGUAUUGAUAUAUUGUUGUAAGUACUGGUAUGUGAAAGAGAGGGAAAGAUCGAUGUGUGCAGUGGUUUGUCCUUUAAAAGUUGCAGCGCACUGCAGCACAGCUUGCGUGGUGCCGCAUAAUUCUAUGGCACAUUAUUUAAGCGCCAACGACUGGUACUAUUAAUGCUCGUUUGUGCUAGUUUGACAACCAGAGGGCAUCUUUGAGAAUCAUUUGAUAGCCUUUAAUAGUGGCUGUAAGAGAUUUUAAAAAAUUGUACGAACAUAGUAUAUGGGACUGAUUUUAAGAAAUGUUGCUUAAUUAAUCAGAUUAACAUUAUGGUGUUUCUACUCCAUGAAAAAUUAGUUGGGUUUCCGUUAGGUUGGAAUGGAAAAUAUGGUGCUGUAAAACUUGAAGGUUGGGAGUGGGCUACAGUGCUGGACUAUUUAGCAAAAUAAUCCCCAUGUCAUGUGGGCAUGCGGGAGACUGGGGUUCAAUACCCCGCUGGGGAGGAAGGAGUAGGCUGUCCUUGUAAUUAUGAAUUUGUUCUUAACUGAUUCCAUAUGUUUUAUUUCUUAGUUGAGAUGUAUUCACUAUUAUUCCACAAUGUAGAAAAUAGUAAAAAUAAAGAAAAACCCUGGAAUGAGUAGGUGUGUCCAAACUUUUGAGGCCAUCAAGAUGUUUUGGCUAGAGAAAUUGACGAUACUACAAUGCAACAAAUACAUUUAUCAUCUCUGCAAGAUUUUCCCGUUGUCGUGGAGCUGGUGGAAGUGCAACUAAAAUGUAGUUUAAAUAACCAUCUAGAUUUUGAUGGUCUUUUUUUCUAGUGAUUUUAUUAAUGAACGCAUCUAGAUGUUUAUGAAGAAAUUCUUGUACCUCUAUUUUGAGUUUGAAAUGUAACACUUCAGAGUACGGGCGUAGCCUAGUGGUUAGAGCGUUGGUCUAGUAACCGGAAGGUAGUGAGUUCAAACCCCCGAGCUGACAUGGUACAAAUCUGUCGUUCUGCCCCUGAACAGGCAGUUAACCCACUUUGCCCAGGCUGUCAUUGAAAAUAAGAAUGUGUUCUUAACUGACUUGCCUGGUUAAAUAAAGGUAAAAUGUUAAAAAAAACUUUAGCAUCAAAUACAUUGCAGGUAAGGGAAUGUUCAUGCCUACAAUUGCCGGGCUCUAAAGAGUCUAUUGUCCUGAUAAUCGUGCAACAAGUGUUUGAAAAGCUGUUUUCAAAAUGCCACCAACUGUCCAUCACUACUGUAAAUAAAAACACAGCAUCUUAUUUAUAUCGCGUUUACAUUCUUUACCACAAUGUCACAAAUAAUUUGUAUCUACCUUUCCAAUUACUUUUAGAGUUUGGGAUUAAUUUGAUUAAUUGGUAUUGCUGUUUAUAUUCCAAGAAAAACAAAAAACCCUCUGUGUUUCCAUUAGGAUGGAACUAAAAAUAUGGCGCUGUACAACAUGAUGAUCGGAAGUAGGCAACACAGUACUGGGCUAUUUAGCGAAAGAAUCCCUGUAUCAUCAUCAGCAGGCAACGCGGGAGACCUUGGUUCCUUGUAGGCUUCUUAACAAAUGUACCUAGUUAAAUAAAGGUUACACUAAGAGCAUAACAUUUCUACACCAUAAUUUUAGUCUAACAGAGAUUCAGUCAGAGAUUCAGUCAAAAUAAAAAUCUCAUUGAUUUAUCAAGACCAGUCCCCAUACUUGUCUCAGAGCAGCAGGAAACGGUGCUAAAAUAUUUGUAGGCUAAAGCUUCAAAUCCUAUUGCUUCUAACUUCAAUAUGCUCUUUAAAUAAAUAAGACCUACACCAUUUUUAACAGCACAUUACUCAACACUAGUGAGUCUCAUGUGGCCUACGGUAGGCCUACAGUAUAUCAAAAAAUAUGACGUGACUCUCCGCCAAUAAUUACAUAUAGAGGAUUCUAAAUAAAAUAUAAAAGCUGGAGGUUAUUUAAAAAAAUGUUUUUACGAAAGUUAAUGUAAUCUGAAUAAAGGCCAAAAUAAUAUUGGUAUAGGCCAAAACAUUUAUUUCUGUUUUUAGAGGGAGAAAAACGCUGGGCCAAUUGUCGCCUAAGGGAUUCCCAAUCAUAAUACAUAAUAAUAAUAAUAAUAAUAUUAAAAAUACUUGACUUAGAAAUACAUUAGAAAUAUAAUUCUCCACCUACCCUCCAUCUAGGCAAGUCUAUUGUCCAGCUACCUGCUAGAACAGCGGGAACGUUUCCCUAGUCAGCGCCAUUAUUAGUGGAAUGCCCCUUAAAGUGUUGCUCUGUGCUACCCAGUGUGGCGGGGUGGGGGUCCAAGUUUGCUGGGUCUGUCUUGGCCAGUUCGUACUAUAAUGACACAAGGCGAGACCCAGAUGCAGACACAGGAGGAAUAUGGUUGGAGUUUUACAAUAUUUAGUAAUCCAAUAGGGGAAGGCAAGAGAAUGGUCGUGGACAGGCAAAAGGGUCAAAACCAGGUCAGAGUCCAAAAAGUACCGAAUCAAGGUCAGGCCAGGCAGGAUGAUCAGGCAGUUGGGAAAGAAGUCCAGAGUCAAAACCCGGGAGGACUAUCAAAAAGAGAAUAGCAAAAGGAACCCAGGAAAAACACUCUGGUUGACUUGACUAACAUACACAGAGAGACAGGAAACACAGGGAUAAAUACACUGGUGAAAUCAUGCGACACCUGGAGGGGGUGGAGACAAUAACGAGGACAGGUGAAACCGAUCAGGGUGUGACAAGAGUAAAGAAUUAUGUCAAGAUUCAAAAAUUACUGCACACUCACAAAUACGCCACGUCCCCACAUGGAUGACUUUUCUCCCUCUCACACCAAAAUCCAUUUGCUCUCACAACCGCUUACUAUACUUUUAUAACAAGAGGGAAAUUCUAGCCAAUGAACAUAGCCUGUAGCAGUCUACUGAAACUCAAUUGGUCAGGAUUUUAGACCAACCACUGUUUGACAGCUCUCUAACCGGAUUUUUGCCCAUAGAGAUGAAAGGGAACGGUGAAAGGUGAGUGAUCACUGACAAUAAUAAAGAGGUAAGUUCAACAGUUUUUCAGUAGAGAAACUAGAUAACCAACCAGCUAGAUAAUCAACUAUGAUUUCAAUAUUGAAAUUAUAGUAAGUAGUUAUUCUGUUAUUAAAGCAAGCUAUUGAUAUGGAAAGGUAGCCGAACAUCAAUUAGGUAGGGUGCUAACUAGCUAACUUUAGUUAGUUAACUAACAUUAUAGAAAAUUAAUUAGCUAGCUAAUGUUACACCUUGUGGUUUAAGUAAACCCGAGGUGGUUUCAUUUUCUAUACAGUUUCUGGUUUAACUAAGAGCGUUGUACCUAAGUUGAGAGGGGAUUUUAUUAGAUGAGGAGGACUUGGAACACCAGCAUAAAUGGGUGGCAGACGAGGGGGGCAAGGUUGAGAUCAGACAGGGAAGACCCUCGUUAUUUUUUACAUUGUUUGCAAACUGAUAUGUGACAUGUAUUAAUGCCAAAAUAACAUGCAAAACAGGUGGGGCUCAAAACUUGGGAGGCUCUGCCCCACCUGCCCUGAAUGACGCAUUGCCACUGCUAAUAUAUGGUGGUGAAGUUCUCUGCUCAGCUGACAGAAACAGGAGAUACAGGAGUCCAUUCUGUUCCAAGUAGGGUACCUUGGCUCUCCUCUAUGUACACUCUGGGGACUUUCUGCAGAGUUGUUCUCAGGAGAACAGCAAGGCAGAGGACACCAAGUUUGGACCAAACCUGGAGAUCUUCACUGGUUCUGAGGGAGGUGACGUGGCCAGAAACUGUACCUGGGAAACCUUCCAUCGCUACCACUGUUUGAAAACUGCCGCAGGGUGUUCAAGACAUCUACUGCAACUUCAUCUUUAGUGUGUCAGCUCUGCUGCACCUGGAAGAUACAGGUUUGGCACCACACUCCCAACAGUCAUGUAUGCUUAAACAUACUUGUAUGCUCAUUUAUAUGUUCCUUAAAGUGGCAAUCAGCAGUUGAAACAAUAAAAAAGUGUUUUCCUUGCCCCUGUUUUGGUAAAACGCUGAGGGAUUGGGCUGGAGAAAUGUAGCCUCUCAAAUUCUUAAAGAGAGCUAAGGAUGCAAGCACUGACCAUCGUGCCUCCUCCUAAAACCCCAUUGGAGGAGAUGACCCAAGAUUCCUCGCCUCAGACCUCCUCCAAUGGGUUUUGAGAAGGAUGAGUGUAGAGAGGAGUUGAGCAGAGAUUAAUUGGGACAAAGCUCAUGCCAUUGUUUUAGGGGGAAACUUAUGUUGCAUGAUAUACUAUAUAUACAAACGUAUGUGGACACCCCUUCAAAUUUGUGGAUUCAAAUAUUUCAGCCAUACCCAUUGCUGACAGGUGUAUAUAAUUGUGCACACAGCUAUGCAAUCUCCAUAGAGAAACAUUGGCAGUAGAAUGGCCCCACUGAAGAGCUCAGUGACUUUCAACGUGGCACCGUCAUAGGAUGCCACCUUUCCAACAAGUCCAUUCAUCAAAUUUCUGCCCUGCUAGAGCUGCUCUAGUCAACUGUAAGUGCUGUUAUUGUGAAGUGGAUACGUCUAGGAGCAACAAUGGCUCAGCCGCGAAGUGGUAGGCCACACAAGCUCACAGAACGGGACCCCCGAGUGUUGAAGCAUGUAAAAAUUGUCUGUCCUUGGUUGCAACACUCACUACCGAGUUCAAAACUGCCUCUGGAAGCAAAGUCAGCACAAUAACUAUUUGUCAGGAGCUUUAUGAAAUGGGUUUCCAUGGCCAAGCAGCCGCACACAAGCCUAACAAACGGGUUCUCUGGAGUGAUGAAUCACACUUCACCAUCUGGCAGUCCAACGGACAAAUCUGGGUUUGGUGGAUACCAGGAGAACGCUACCUGCCCCAAUGCAUAGUGCCAACUGUAAAGUUUGGCGGAGGAGGAAGAAUGUUCUGGAGCUGUUUUUCAUGGUUUGGGCUAGGCCCCUUAGUUCCAGUGAAGGGAAAUCUUAAUGCUACAGCAUACAAUGACAUUCUAGGCGAUUCUGUGCUUCCAACUUUGUGUCAACAGUUUGGGGAAGGCCCGUUCCUGUUUCAACAUGACAAUGCCCCGUCCACAAAGCGAGGUCCAUAAAGAAUUGGUUUGCCGAGAUUGGUGUGGAAGAUCUUGACUGGCCUGCACAGAGCCCUGACAUCAAUUCCAUCAAACUAUUUUGGGAUGAAUUGGAACGGCGACUGCGAAUCAGGCCAAAUCACCCAGCAUCAGUGCUCGACCUCACAAAUGCUCUUGUGGCUGAAUGGAAGCAAGUCCCAGCAGCAAUCUUCCAACAUCUAGUGGAAAGCAUUCCUAGAAGAGUGGAGGCUGUUAUAGCAGCAAAGGGGGGACCAACUCCAUAUUAAUGCCCAUGAUUUUGGAAUGAGAUGUUUGACGAGCAGGUGUCCACAUACUUUUGGUCAUAUAGUGUACAUCUAUUCUGUUUGCACUCACAUCUUUCUUCUACUUGUGCUCUUUCUACAGCUGUUUCUGGCAUGCUGAUAACAUCUGAUCUGAUGAUAUGCGAUUUGACUUCUGUAUUACUGACUGUAUGCAAUAAAACUUCCAAUGCCAAAUCGAAAUCAUUUGGGAUUCUGUAAUUGACAAUGGUAGUUCCCAAUCAGACAAUCACUAUAAAACAAAUGUUUUCCUCAGUGAAAUGUAUGGUGAAUGUGUUGUUUUGUCCUCAGUCCUCCUUUGAAUGCUGUUUCAGUUCUAAACGACCAUCAUUGAGUCUAUCCUCACCUCCUCUAUCACUGCAAUGGAUUGUCCAGUCUGCUGAGAGGUUCAUUGGGUGCCACCUGCCCUCCAUCGAUGUCCUGCACGACUCCAGGGCAAGGAAGCGUGCAGGAAAGAUCAUCGCCGACCCCUUUCGCCCCCUCUUCCAAAGACUCUCUUCUGGCAAACGGUUCAGGUCAAUCACGACCAAAACCUCCCACCACCUGAACAGUUUCUUCCGUGGCCCUCACCAACCGGCCACCUGGUCUGCGAUUAUCCUGUCAUCCAUGGAUUUUGCACUAUUCAUCCAUAAACUAUGCACCCUGCAUGAUCAUCUCAGAACUGCACAUGUAGCUUAAAGUGUUCAUUGUGUACUUACUGUAUGUGGAUCUGUGGACAAUCUGCAUCUAUAUAUUUUUUUUGUCUGUAUAUUCUGUUUAUUGUUGCAGCACCAUUUCAUAGAGUCCUUUAAAUGCACAUAUAUUUGCAGAAUAAAGCUGAUUCUGACAUGUUAACCUAGUUUAGCUGGUUAAUCCUAUGUCAGUUUACAAUCUAUUAUUUGAGAAUGAUUAUAUACUAGCAGGCAGACGAUUCUUUAUUUUGUGUCUUCCUUUAAUUUAAAAUCCCCAUGUGCUGUGUGUGUGUCCUUGGGCUUAAUACCCAAAAUAUUGGCUCCUGCCUGCAAUUGGUGGACUUGUUUUAUGGUGUGUACUAGAGAUGACUGUCUGCUUUUCGUUUUACAGACGAAGGUUGCUGGCUAACAAGUAAUUAGCUAGAUAACUUUAGCAAGUAGAUUCCACUGAACUCAAGGUAUUGUACUCAGGGCAGCAGGUAGCCAAGUGGUUAGGGCAUUGGGCCCGUAUCUGAAAGGUUGCUGGGUCGAAUCCCUGAGCUGACAAGGUGAAAAUCUGUCGU